rnacentral:rRNA from 1 species
UAAUACGUAGGGUGCGAGCGUUAAUCGGAAUUACUGGGCGUAAAGCGUGCGCAGGCGGUUCGUUAAGUUUGCGGUGAAAGCCCCGGGCUCAACCUGGGAAUGGCCGUGGAAACUGGCGGGCUGGAGUGCGGCAGAGGGGGGUGGAAUUCCGCGUGUAGCAGUGAAAUGCGUAGAGAUGCGGAGGAACACCGAUGGCGAAGGCAGCCCCCUGGGCCGACACUGACGCUCAGGCACGAAAGCGUGGGGAGCAAACAGG